AGUGGCGAACGGGUGAGUAAAGUAUCGGAACGUGCCCAGUCGUGGGGGAUAACGUAGCGAAAGUUACGCUAAUACCGCAUACGAUCUAUGGAUGAAAGCGGGGGAUCGCAAGACCUCGCGCGAUUGGAGCGGCCGAUAUCAGAUUAGGUAGUUGGUGGGGUAAAGGCUCACCAAGCCGACGAUCUGUAGCUGGUCUGAGAGGACGACCAGCCACACUGGGACUGAGACACGGCCCAGACUCCUACGGGAGGCAGCAGUGGGGAAUUUUGGACAAUGGGCGCAAGCCUGAUCCAGCCAUGCCGCGUGCGGGAUGAAGGCCUUCGGGUUGUAAACUGCUUUUGUACGGAACGAAAAGGUUUGGCCUAAUAAGCUGAGCUCAUGACGGUACCGUAAGAAUAAGCACCGGCUAACUACGUGCCAGCAGCCGCGGUAAUACGUAGGGUGCGAGCGUUAAUCGGAAUUACUGGGCGUAAAGCGUGCGCAGGCGGUUAUGUAAGACAGAUGUGAAAUCCCCGGGCUCAACCUGGGAACUGCAUUAGUGACUGCAUAGCUGGAGUACGGCAGAAAGGGGGAUGGAAUUCCGCGUGUAGCAGUGAAAUGCGUAGAUAUGCGGAGGAACACCGAUGGCGAACGCAAUCCCCUGGGCCUGUACUGACGCUCAUGCACGAAAGCGUGGG
rnacentral:rRNA from 1 species